rnacentral:lncRNA from 1 species
CCUGUAUUCUCCAGGUAAGGGAAGGGACUUGCCCAGUGUCACACAGCCAGGCAGUGGCAAAUUGGGUUAGAAUUCAGGUCUCUUCUAUGCUAUUUUCCUUCCACUAUAUCAUAGACACCUUUUUGCAAUUGUUAUUUUAAAUUAGGUCAAAUGCCUAAUGUGUAUGCUAAGUAGUCCUUAUUACAAACAUAUAAAGCACACACUUUACAGCUAGAAGGAGCCUCAGUAACAGUCUAAUCCCACUCAUUUCAUUUUACAGAUGAGGAAAACAAUGAGUUUGUUUACCUAAGCCUGUUUAGAAGUGCAUCCCAAUCAGUUGACUGGAUUAUACAACCAACAAUAUAGCUAUUAACAGCCCAGCUUUAUAAUGACCUAUCACUUGGUUUAAGCUCAAGUUGAAACCACGCUUCUGCAUAUCUCAGUCCUGUCACCAGGCCCUGCACCACUUUCAAUCUUGCUCUUUAAUUUGAUCUGUCUUCACUUGUGUGUGACUAGUUUUCCCCUUGGCCCAAACUGCCAAGGUGGCUUUCAGGGUCAUGGGUGUGAGGGAAAUUAGUUGUGGAUUGGAAAGGUGUGCUAUAUAAGAAAGAAAUGAGUGCUGGGGAUUUAGCUCAGUGGUUUCACCGCCUACUGCGCAAGGGUAAGGACCCGAGUUCGAUCCCUGGUACCCCCCCCCCCCAAAAAGGAAAGAAAUGAGAUGUUAUCAAGAGCUGUGGAGGGGCUGAGAUUUUACCCUACUUGCAAGCUAACAAGUGAGUCUUCCACAGCUUUAUGGCUGCUGGCAGAAGACACAAGCCUUCUGAAUGCAUCACAAACAAAGGUCUUCUUUACUCACAACAAUAGCAGUAGGUAGAAUGUUGUCAUUUGCUUGUGCUUGUUUUCCCAAGCCCCAGUUCCCAAUGUAAAGAGGGCCUGGUGACAUCUGAACAUACCGUAAAGCACAUCACGAGAGAGGAGCCCUGGGAUUAGAGAAUCAGAAUCUUAAACACCAGACACAAACGUGGAGUAUCAUGAUUGUCUUUAGAAGCAUGGCGGACAUCUUUUCUACUCAUUGGUUGGUUCCCUUAAGCAGAACACACUAAAGAGUUACUUCUAUUACAAAACUGAAAUGGGCAUCCCUUCCCCCCUUCCACCACAGUAGUGUGAUGUAAUAAAAAUUUCAGAGAAUUGUAAUUAUCGAGUCUAAAUAUGCACUUAUUUCUUAAAGCAAUAUUGCUUUUCUUACAUGGUACAUUUUGUAUUUAUAAUGUGCCAUUAAUGUCUCAGUAGCAAUUAGAACACAGCAACAGCUGCAACGUGGAGGAUUUCACGUUGCUAGGAGAGCUUGGAUCUUCACGCUCCCAGUCUUUGGGUGAAUGUGUGGCUUCCCGUGAGGUAUUUACACAGACCUGGGGAUCAUUUUCCAGAUGUCCUUUUCCA